CGAUUCUACAUCUUCCGCACCAGUGCGUCGAGUGGUAAUCCCGUGAUCCAUAUACGACAGUUUUCCUGGUUUACACGGUAGAAAAUUUUGUUUUGCACUAGCGUAGCCUACCUCGUAACCCUACAAUAACUACCAUCUAUUAUUGUGGGCUUUGGAAUUUAAUUGUCUAAUUGGCCUUAAUUCCAUUUCUCUAACAACUUUUCGUGGGAAUUGGCACCGCAUUAUCUGAAGCAGUGCUAAUCUGUGCUCGCAAGGAUAGUCCAAAUAGGAAUUUGUAAAUGAAAUAGGAAUAAAAAAUUAUUUAGGCCGAGAGAGCCAUCUCAAGCUACACCUCAAGGUAGCAAGCUACAAGUCACGCGUUUUCACGCGAAAUACACACGCAUGCAAUAUUUAGCCUUCAAACACAACCUUCAAACAUACGACCUCCCCCCUCGUGCUAUCCUUCCUUAUCAUCCCACCUAUACCUCGUUCAUGCAUGCAAUAGGGAGUCAUGUUUCUUUUGACCACUAGUAGAGAACUAACCUUCCA
rnacentral:lncRNA from 1 species